rnacentral:rRNA from 1 species
UACGGAGGGGGCUAGCGUUGUUCGGAAUUACUGGGCGUAAAGCGCACGUAGGCGGCUUUGUAAGUUAGAGGUGAAAGCCCGGGGCUCAACCCCGGAACUGCCUUUGAAACUAGAUUGCUAGAAUCCUGGAGAGGUGAGUGGAAUUCCGAGUGUAGAGGUGAAAUUCGUAGAUAUUCGGAAGAACACCAGUGGCGAAGGCGACUCACUGGACAGGUAUUGACGCUGAGGUGCGAAAGCGUUGGGGAGCAAACAGG